AUUAAAUUGAAGAGUUUGAUCAUGGCUCAGAUUGAACGCUGGCGGUAGGCUUAACACAUGCAAGUCGUGCGAGAAAGUAUCUUCGGAUAUGAGUAGAGCG
rnacentral:rRNA from 1 species